UACGAGGGCUCCAAGCGUUAUCCGGAUUUAUUGGGCGUAAAGAGUGUGUAGGAGGAUUUUUAAGUUUAAUGUUAAAUCUCGGGGCUCAACUUCGAGGCCGCAUUGAAUACUGAAAAUCUAGAGUGUGCAAGAGGCUAAUAGAACUCAUGGUGUAGGGGUGAAAUCCGUUGAUAUCAUGGGGAAUACCAAAGGCGAAGGCAUUUAGCUGGUGCAUUACUGACUCUCAAGCACGAAAGCGUGGGGAGCAAAAAGG
rnacentral:rRNA from 1 species